CCCGGGUCCGAUGCGUAGGUGACCUGCGGAGGAUCAUUGUCGAAACCUGCACAAGCAGAAAGACCCGUGAACUCGUUUACAAACACCGGGCGGACGGCGUUUGGCCACAAACCGACGACGUCCCCCGAGCUUGGUAGGAUCCCGGCUCCCAGUGAGUCGGUCUCCUCCCAACCACAAACAAACCCCGGCCCGAAUUGCCCCAAGGACCAUGAACAAUAGCGCGUCCCACGCCCCUCGGUUGCCCAAAUUGCGCGUGGGUCGCCUUGUCUUUUCAAUACAUUAAAACGACUCUGGGCAACGGAUAUCUCGGCUCUCGCAUCGAUAAAGACGUAGCAAAUGCGAUACUUGGGUGUGAAUUGCAGAAUCCGUGAACAUCGAGUCUUUGAACGCAAUUGCGCCCGAAGCCUUCGGGCCAGGGCACGUCUGCCUGGGCGUCACGCACCGCGUCGCCCCCACCCCAACCACUGGGAUCGGGGGCGGACUGUGGCCCCCGUGCGCUGCUCGCUCGCGGUCGGCUUAAACACAGACCCCGUGGCCGGCGAAAUGGCACGACGUUGGUGUUUACUCGUGUCUUGUGCUCGAGCAUCGCGUCGUGUCUGGCGGCAUGAGCUCAAGACCUGAGAGACAUCGUCACCUCAGUGCGCAGACUCUACGUUGCGACCAGUCAGCGGACUACGCUGAUAGCAUCAGGCGAGA
rnacentral:rRNA from 1 species